rnacentral:rRNA from 1 species
GGAAGGCUCACAUAGAGGCAGCAGUAGAGAAUCUUGUGCAAUGCACGAAAGUAUGACACAGAGAGGACACAUUUAAUUGAGCCCGUCAAAUUAAGUGCCAGCCGACGCGGUUAGACUUAAGGGCUGGUCUUUAUAAGUAAAAAGGCGUAAAGGAUGUGUAGGCCAAGAAAUUGUCCAAGAAGGUAAAUGGAAUUUUUCUGGAGCGGUAGAAUGUGAGGAUAGAAAAUAGAACACCUAAGGUUAAAACUAUUUACCACAAAAUAGGCUGAAACAUGAAAGUGUGGGGAGCAAACAGGAUUAGAGACCCUGGUAGUCCACACUGUGAACUUUGAAGAUGAUGCUUAGCAGACCCGAAAGGUAAAAUCUUCCGCCUGAGUAGUACGAUCGCAAGAUUAAAAUUCAAAAACUUUGGCUGUUCACUAUUUCGAUUAGAGGAGCGUGUAGUUUAAUUCGAUGGUCCGCGUGUUACCUUACCCCAGCUUGAAUCUAUGACCGGUAUUGCAUGGCCGUCGUAAGUCCGUGUGUUAAGCUAGAAGGGACCCAAUCCGGGCGUUUGCCCGAAGGAAGUCAGGUCUUAUGAUCCGAAUGUUGGGGGAUUUUAUGCGCUACAUUUUCUUAUAUAAUGAGAGACUUGAAAGGUAAGCCUCUAAAGUAAGAGUUCGGAAGGUCGCUGUAAAACGACUGGAAGUUGGAUUUAAUAGUAAUCGGAAAGUAGGGCGUUCCGGUGAAUUGGUACAAGUGUUAGCACAAAUUGCCCGUCACCUUUACCUAGGAGGUUAUUCGGACGCNUCGGGGUUACGAAUGCCUACNANUA